CAAACCCUUAGCUUGUGUUCCGGGGGCUUCAAGGCAGUGUUUCCAAAUAUGUCUAUUAUACUUGUACAGUAAGUGCCUUUGGGCUUGUUUCUUCAGCUGGUUCCGUGUGGGAGCUCUCGCCUUCAUCACUGUGAAUGGAACAGAUAAGGAUCAGUCAAAUCCAGUGGGAAGUGAACAGCAUGUUAACACAGCCCCGAGCAUCAGUGGGAAGCGUGCCUUCGGAUAAAAGGCCGUGUGAGGAUCUUUGCCUGAAAGAGCAGAGCGGUUGCGUCGCACCCGGGCUCCAUCGUGUGCAGGAUCCGUGUUGCGGUGAAACUCUGGACCUCAACCAGCUUCACAGAUGAGAACGCCUCAAGGGAAAAUUAAUAAGCAAUUUUCUGAUAAUACAAACCCAUUACCCUCACAGCCAACAUAAAACCAACAGUCCAUUACGUGAAUGUGGACGUUGCUGAUUUUUUUUACAGUGUAAUGGAACACAGAGUUUAUCUCUUGCUCCCUGCAUUUUAAAUGCAAACAGGUGUGAAUGAGAGAGAGAAUCUGAAGGGACAGAAGAGCAUCUCAUAAACAAAUCUGUUUCUCCUAAACUUUCAUUUAGCACAAACUACUGCAUAGUUGAAAUACUAGUCUGGCCUGAGCUUUGCCUAUUAUUUAUUAUGCUCACAUUCUUACGUUCAAACUAAUACUGCAAAGAUUGCAGGGUCUCUGAUUCCCAUCGAAGCCAGUGGCCUUGGAGCUCGUCUGUGAAUUUGGAUUUUAACAUGAAAGGUGGUGAUAAGACGAGCUGAAGUCGUCUGCCUUAAUGUGGGAAUGAAUCCACAGUGAACCCAUAAAACCAAGAAGAAAAACUGAAUUUGAUCACUUUCUAACAGUCUCUCUCUCUCUUUUAAACUCAACAGUGCAGCACAUUUAACACAUUAAAGCGCCAGAUAACUAUGUCCUUCUGGAAGGCUGGAUUCAAGCUUAGAGCCUCUGAACAGUUCACUUAAGUUAACACCCACUGUAUUCCUCCCUCUCCACCUGCCAUCAGGCGUCCUUAUGUUUGCUUCCUGUUAUCUGCUCGCUGUUCGUCGAACCUCUGCAGCGAGCUGCAGAUGGCACCUUUAAGGCGAUUUUAUUUUUAAUAGCUGUUUACAGUACAAUCUCUGCAGCGAUUUCACUUUGCACAUCGAUGUUCGGUGCCGCUCGUCAGCUCCUCCUUGUUUUCAGUGCAUUUCCACCCACACAGUCUUAUCAGCUCUGCUAGAGACAGUAAUCAAACCACAUAUUGUAUGGAUGUGGAGGGAGUGAAGGGUGGGGGCAACAUGGUGGUUUUUAUUGCAGGGGCAGAGUAGCUGAAACUCUGACAAUAACAUAUUUUAGGCCACCUGACAUGAUAGAUGAGACGGUCCACCCUGUAGGAUAUUACCAUUUUUCUGUGGCGCAUCCUUUCGCCCGGCUCGCUCUCAGCCAGGAGCUUGAAUUCUAUAAAUACUGAAAGAGUGGCACCCCUUUAAAGUUUGCUCAAUUCCAACACUUAUCUUGACAGCACAUUUUUGUUGUUGGUUUUUUCCCCUGCAGACCCCGCUGUUUGCAUUGGAGCCGUUUUUUGUCGACAGGGACACAUUCAUCAUGUAAUAAAGUGAUGCAAGCUGUUACAAGAUGCCAAAAUACAAAGCCUGCGAGUUCUGUACAGUAGCGGACGG